AGGGUGUAAACGCUGCAGACUUGGUGUUGGAAGUCCUUUGGGGGCAUUCAGUGCCGGAGAGAAGUUGUUAAGUCUGCUACUUGGGGAGUACGUCCGCAAGGAUGAAACUUAAAGGAAUUGGCGGGAGAGCACCGCAACGGGAGGAGCGUGCGGUUUAAUUGGAUUCAACACCGUAAAACUCACCAGGGAAGACUGUUACAUGAAAGCCGAGAUGAAGACUCUGCUAGAUUUUCAGAGAGGAGGUGCAUGGCGUCAGUGACU
rnacentral:rRNA from 1 species